UUAAAAGAUCCCCAGUUGCUACUCAACUGGUCCUUUAAGAAUUCUUAGGUGUUAGAACUGCUUGUCUCUAUGACCCUUCAGUGUUGGUUGCCUCUUGGAUUUCUGGGAACAGGAUAGGUAUAAAAAGGCCAGCUGAGGCUCUGACAAGGAGUUGGGGGUUAGCAGAGUGAGACGAGAAGGCAGUUGGUACAGAAGAUAUUGUUAGGUCACAGUUGAGCCAGGAGAAGCUGAGCUGAGCAGACAACAGUUGUUACAGUUUGGAGCUGCUGAUAUUGGGAAACUGGAGAAGGGACCAGGCUGUUGGGGAAUUGAGGGAGGAAUGGUUAGGAGAGAUGUUUGAAGGGGCUGGCUGGAAACCAGGAGGAGGGUUGACAGGAGUAUAAAAAGUGGUUAGCAAAAAAUACUCAAGUAAGAAAUUAAAGCAAUAUGAGAACAACAGAAAAGACAUCAGAGAAAUAAGGAAGGAUUUAAUUGAAAAGAAAAAAAAAAAGCAAAUAGCAGACUAUAGAGUAGUAAAAUGGAGACCCCGAAGUCACAGGGAAAUGGUGCCACAGACUGUGAUGCUAAGCAAAGAGUGGAGAACAAAGGCGAAAGAGGAGAGAACUACCACAGCAACCAGAGGUUCUGGAGAACCACUCAGGAUUGUGGUAGGAGGACAUGCAAGCUGGCCCUAGACCAACAAAUUCAUCUGGAGCCUGAUCUCUUGUCCCAGCGAGAGACCCUUCUCUGCCUCUCACAGUCCCAGAAAUGUACCGAGGCUUCACUCCAGUUCCUAUAAGUUGUGCCAGCUCUAACUGACUGAUGCACUUCAGGAUCUACAGCACAGAAAGAAAAAAAAUGUGAGGUUUUAAAAGCAAAGAGAGGCUACUUCAGUAUCAUCACAGUCUUGGAGACCCACACUGAAUGCAGCCAAGAAAGGUGUCCAAGCCAACUAGAAGAAUUAAAAAUUUAAAAUGACAUGCAUAUUAAGUGAUAAUUGAACAUCUUGGCAUAGUGAGAAAGUUUUCAUAAAGAAAAAAGAAAAUUAUGUUUCUUGGGUUUAAAUAAAUGGAAACAAUAAUAAACUCA